GCCUGUGGUAUUUGUUUCCAGGUCACAAGGCCAGGUCACAGGGUGCACACGUCCUCCUCCCAUGUCAUGUCAGCUUUCUGCCGAGGCCUCAGGAAGAGCACAGAACCAGUGAAAGUAUUUCUCAGGGCUUCAUCUACUCUGAUGUGACCGACUGCUAAGUGUGGAGAAUCUGUUCCUGCUCUGAAUCUCAUCUUUGGACCCCUCAUAACCAUCUGACUUGCUCUCGCUCUUUCCUCUUGUGGUCUCAACUGUUCCUCUUCUGCUCCCGGAGCCCCGGCUGUGACAGUUGGUAAGCUAUCAACAGCAUGGGUCACCUACUUCUGACGCUUUAUCAAUCAGCCGCUGGUGGAAUUCUUUGAGUUGACUGAAUGCUCUGCAAAAGAAGGUGUACACCAAAUCAAAGGAGGAAGACCUUUGAUUAUCUUCCUAUUUCCCCGUUCGAAAUUUGCUCUCUUGCUUUUUCUCUCUAAAAGAACUCAUAAGAAAUUAAGGUUGCUGGAAUGUGAUGGCGUGUGGCUAGAGGAACUGAAAUCUGGCUGAGAGCUUCAGAGGUUUCCUGGCAACGAGAAUGCGCAGCAGAGCGUGGUUUCGGAGGGAGGUUAUGGUGCUCCGAGAGAAGAUGGAAUAGCUGCCCCAUCAUGUGGAGGCCAGACCUAGGGCUGCAGCCAGAACACGGCAACUAAGGAAGAUGGCGGACCAUCCAGCCUUGAAAAUGGAAUAGAAAGCCUUUCAGAGGCAAGGAAAACAGAAGAAUCAAAGAUGAAGGGGAUGAAGAUCACUGGCUAUCUUCGUGCUAUGAGACUCUUCUCUUUGACCAUGGCUGAGUGCUCUGAGGUGAAUACUGAUCACAAAUGGAGCCAAUCAGAUUCUUUGAAUGAGGUACUAGAACUUGACAGAAAGACCCAGGACUCUGGGAGCAGAGUCAUCUUAGUGGCUAAUAUUUUGCACGUAACUUUUAUAACCUUCUCCCCUCUGUUUUACUAUUGUUUGCGAAAUUGUCUUAUUUUUUCUACAAGACUAUAAGAUUUCUGUGGGCAGGGAUGGUGUUCUGCCUAUUCUUUUAAAUUCCUUUAUGGCACCUAGCAGAGUGUCUUGAACAUACCUAUUCAAAACAUGCCCCUUGCAUUUAAUAAAAUGGACCAGGUAUAGAAUUUUGGCUAUAGU
rnacentral:lncRNA from 1 species